GAUGAACGCUGGCGGCGUGCCUAAUACAUGCAAGUCGAGCGAACAGACGAGGAGCUUGCUCCUCUGACGUUAGCGGCGGACGGGUGAGUAACACGUGGAUAACCUACCUAUAAGACUGGGAUAACUUCGGGAAACCGGAGCUAAUACCGGAUAAUAUAUUGAACCGCAUGGUUCAAUAGUGAAAGACGGUUUUGCUGUCACUUAUAGAUGGAUCCGCGCCGCAUUAGCUAGUUGGUAAGGUAACGGCUUACCAAGGCAACGAUGCGUAGCCGACCUGAGAGGGUGAUGGGCCACACUGGGACUGAGACACGGUCCAGACUCCUACGGGAGGCAGCAGUAGGGAAUCUUCCGCAAUGGGCGAAAGCCUGACGGAGCAACGCCGCGUGAGUGAUGAAGGUCUUCGGAUCGUAAAACUCUGUUAUUAGGGAAGAACAAAUGUGUAAGUAACUAUGCACGUCUUGACGGUACCUAAUCAGAAAGCCACGGCUAACUACGUG
rnacentral:rRNA from 1 species